GACGUAGGGCGCGAGCGUUGUCCGGAUUUAUUGGGCGUAAAGAGCUCGUAGGCGGCUUGUUGCGUCGGCUGUGAAAACCCAUGGCUCAACCGUGGGCUUGCAGCCGAUACGGGCAGGCUAGAGUUCGGUAGGGGAGACUGGAAUUCCUGGUGUAGCGGUGAGAUGCGCAGAUAUCAGGAGGAACACCGGUGGCGAAGGCGGGUCUCUGGGCCGAUACUGACGCUGAGGAGCGAAAGCGUGGGGAGCGAACAGG
rnacentral:rRNA from 1 species